rnacentral:lncRNA from 1 species
UCCACAGUUGCUGCUGACACGCCGACCGCCUGCUGCUUCAGCUACACCUCCCGGCAGAUUCCACAGAAUUUCAUAGCUGACUACUUUGAGACGAGCAGCCAGUGCUCCAAGCCCGGUGUCACUUCCUAACCAAGCGAAGCCGGCAGGUCUGUGCUGACCCCAGUGAGGAGUGGGUCCAGAAAUAUGUCAGCGACCUGGAGCUGAGUGCCUGAGGGGUCCAGAA